AGCGUUGAAACACUGGUUCCAGUACAAUCACCGAAGUUAAGCAACGUCGAGCCUGGUUAGUACCGAGAUGGAUGUCUGCUUGGGAAUAUCAGGGGUU